ACAAUUAUCUGAUGCAUUCGCAGUGACCAUCACGGCAGGUCCCACCUCCGUAACCAUCUCUGUUGCAGAUAUCAUUACAAGAUGAAGUUCACGGUGCCCCUCGACACCAAUGUUAGCUUCCUUUCCUACAACAAUAAAAAAUAAAAGGUGCCAUCAGAACCUUUUGUUGUUCAUAUGUAAACUAGGAUUCUGUGAAAUCAAUGUACUAUGCAAAUAGAAGGACAGCAGUGGAGUGCUAAUACAAACACAGGAAAAUGAAACUACUGGCUGGUAUAUAAUUAUUAUGUACUAUGGAACCAUACGUACCACGACAAAAUUGUAAUGGUGAUUAGAACAUCACAAGGAAAACACCUCUAUCAUUUCCAUGCCAUUGUUAAAUAACACUAGGUUUAAACUACUAUGAGGCAUGAUAACUUUCAAAUAAGGGGACGAGCGCGACGCACAAGUUUGCACUACAAGGAAAAAUAGUUAUAUAUAUAUAUAUUGCGAGUAUGAGGAAAAAGAUACUUGCCUAUCUUAACUAAAUACCUCACUCUAUUAGGCAUGGUUGAAACACUUUUCUCUUGCAAAAAUACUGGCAUAUAUUAACUUGAACGAUCAAACUUCAUAAGAAACAUUCAUCUCUUUGGCAACAGAGAAUGAUGUAAUAGGAUCAAUUUUUUAUCUAGCUCUAGGAAACCACAAAUUCAUAUAUACUACAGUUGAUAAGCUCUGGUAAAUAGAAAUGUACAUAUCUUCCUCGCUGACGCUUCACUCGACAAUAAAGUGGUUGAAACCAUCAAAAGUGCCAUCAAGCAUAGAACACCAGUGUUGAUCCGGAUUAGAGCCUUAACGAAAUUGUUUAGCGUUCUCUUCUUUUAUGUCCUUUUGGUUGUAGACUUGUACUACAUUGCUGGUUCCUUCUGCUAUUCAUAUAGAGGCAUGGCCAAUUCUUGGAGUAUCAAUGUUUGCCACUUUAUUCAUUCCUUCUUUGGUGUGUUUCCUUUUUACAAUUCGUCGUAAUUAAUAAGUAUCCUCGGAAAAUUCUUUGACUACUGCUGCAUCCUUGAAAAUUUUAAACAGAUGACAGUAUGUAAUGCUGGAAAGGGAGACACUGUUGCCUUAUGGUCAGACAAAUGGGCUGAUGAUAUCCUAGAGAACACUAUGCCUCACCUUCACUCUUAUGUUAAGAACAAGCAUAUUACUCUUGCUCAAGCAAAAAAUUUGGAUGUUGAUAGCUUCUAUGAUAUGUUCUAUCUCCCUAUGUCUUCUAUAGCUGUCCAGCAGAGUAAUGUUGUAAGAGAGUUGAUCAACAAUAAAGCUGGAAUUCAAUCUGCUGACAUAUGGCAGUUCUAUUGGGGUGGCACAAAGUAUUCAAAUAAAAGGAUUUAUAUGGAAUAUAUUGGUAAUCCACCCGAUGCUCCCAAGCAUUUUCAUUGUACAUAGAAAUCUUGCUCCCUCCCUAAACAAAAAUUCUUCUUCUGGUUUCUUCUACAGGACGGACUCCAUACCAGGGAUCUCCUUAUGAGGAAGAGUUUCCAUAUUGAAAGCAGCAGAUGUGUCCUAUGUGAUGAUGAUCCCAAUAAGCAUUUCAGCCACUUAUUUUUCAGUUGUGAUUUUAGUCACAAUUUCUGGUUAUUUAUUGGAUUCCAAUGGAACACUGACCUAAAUAUGAUGGAGAUGCUUGUGCAAGGGAAGAAGCAUAACAACAUUUGUUGCUUUAAUGAAUGCCUAAUUGCAGGUUGCUGGAGCAUUUGGAAGCACAGAAAUGGCAUCAUAUUUGACCAUCAGGUUAGAAAUAUCAAUCAAUGUAUUGCUAUUUUCAAGGAGCACUCUGUCAUGAUCAUCAAAAAAGCUAGGCCUAGUUUGAAAGAAGGAAUGCAAUCCAGGCUAGACUAUUUGUGAAUCAUCCUUGUUUAUAACUCUUUGUAAAUCCUUGUAACUGUCCUUCAUAUUAAUAGAAAAUGAGUUACAGUGGGGGCCUUCCCCACUGUGUGUUGCUCAAAAAAAUAAUGAUCCUCGGAUGAUAUGCACAUUGUCGGUGUUCUGGGAACGGCGGUCCCCGGACAUGCCUGCCUGCGGCCCACGGCGUGGCUCUGCGAGUGGGCCUGUAUGGCCCAUCUUCACUAGCAAGGACUCAAGACUCUCACGAGGGGCCAAGCCUCUCGAGGCGAGCGAUAGAAGACCUCCUCAGGAGCGGCCUCACCAGGCUGGCUCACGAGGGGAAGAGAGUUCAAGGCCAGGAGAACCUCGCGAGGUUCUAGUGACGUGAGCCAUGACGACCAAGGCCAGGCAGGCGCCAGGCGGGCACCAGCGCACCAUGUCCUUGUUUCCCCUUCGGUCGUAAGGAAGCAGGGGCAGGCGUGGAGUACCGAGGUGUCAAGCAAAGGUUCCCAUAUUAGUGCAACAAGACCAAGACCAGAAGGAUGACAAGACAGAGGUCAUCGUGGAGCCCAAGACAGCGUCACCACCAGAGCCUUUGGCAGGCGAAUACUGCUUUUGUCAGGAUAAGCUGUACUAGCUGUCCCCUUCAAAAUUGGCCGAGGUUGGCUCCCUUCUCUCACAAUAUUUGGGAGAAGGACUAGGGCCUCUAUAAAUAUGACUAGCCACCGCCAUAGCUAGGGGGAGGAUCGAUCAGUCGGUCCGGCCAAGAGAGACUAGGACAUCCACAAGUUCACCGAGCACAAGAACACCUCUCCUCGGGAGGCUGUUCUUCCCCUUGUACUAUUCAUCCUCAUCCCAAGAGGCAAUCCACCACACCACACUAGAGUAGGGUAUUACAGCACAACGGCGGCCCGAACUAGUAUAAAUCUUGUGUCCUUGGUGUUGCGAGUUCGUCGAGUUAGUUCGUAAGAUCUUAGCUGAGGUAGGACGUGGAUCAGUAGGGGGGAGAUCUUCGCGCGCACCCCAGUGUUCGAACCUUGACGGUUUUGCCGGAACCCGUGAUCCGACAUUUGGCGCGCCAGGUAGGGGUGCCCCGAAGCUUCUCUCCUACCGGUCGACUCACCAAUGCUUUGCGGUUCCGAUGUCUGACGACUCAAGGACCAACGCCAACCGCUGGGCAGCCUAGCCGGCCCGGGCGGCGCCGCCUGCCCAGGAAGACCUCAACCCUGCAAUCCAAGCGACACGAGCGCCACCAGACUCUGUGGGGCGCGGGCGGCGUGGCCAGGCGCCGUCCACCCUCACCCCACGACAGGUGCGGGCUGCUGCAAGGGCCGCAAGCCAUGCCGCGGCAACGACACCGCACACCCGGAGGGAGCAGGCAAACAUGCGAGUUGCACUCAUGGUGGCACAGGAGCUACUACGAUGUUGUCUUAUGGAGAGUAGCCGGGAUGCAUUGCUGGAGUGCGUCACCGAGCUACUGGACGCUGCAGAUUCAGGAGUGCCGCCCUUCUGUUCUCUGCUCAUGCCACGAGUUGUGGCCGAGUCGCAUUGCGGGCCACGCCGCGCCCGCGUGCCUACACGCGCACCACCAGGCUUCAUCGACACUGGCGCGACCAACGGGGCUGCACGCCCCCUCACGCCCGCGCCACCUCUGUUGGGUGCGGGCACGAGUGCUGCCACCUAUGGUCCGAGCGGGAUGCAGCCCUAUUCAUCCUCAAGGUGGCACGCUGGGUCGGGCGACAUGGAGUGUGGGGCACUACGGCGAGGUCUUUGAGGCGGCAGCCUCGGAGGCCUACGUACCCCGCAUGAUGGACCAGGAGUACAUGCUGGAAGACGACCCUGGCUCGCUCCUCGAGCCUGGCUGGGAGGAGGAGGCGCUCGAAGCUGGUGCCUUUCAGGACCCCUCCCGGAGCCUCGCCAACAGCAGUGACAGGGUACCACUAAUUCCUCAGGAGCAGGCUUACGCUAACCAUGGUGCGCAGGCGGGUUAGGUCGCAGCAGCAAAUGGCCGUCCCGGCUCGUCAGCCUCCCUCCUGCUAGGGGGCAUGCUGGGGGUUGUAGGAAGGAAGCCGGGGCGAAGCCCCUUCUCAGCGCCGCACGGAAGAAGGCGUCCCUCGGAGGUAUGCCCUCUGUCGGGGAGGUGCUCCAGAGGCUACCCCCGGCAGAGGACCCGUGGUCGCCGAGGGCGCCGCUGGCGUCACCUCUGCCCUCGUUGGUGCCAUCCUGGUCUCUGGUCGUCCCGACGAUGGUAGGGGGCGGCGCAAGAUGGGGCCCUCGUCUGGUGAUAUGAAGUAAGGCUCACGCCUGUCAAGAUCGCCGCCCGUGACACUCUCACGUAAUAACGAGUGGGGCUGUACACGCCCCGGAGUCUCAGGAGUGCCACCCUCGGGCCUCGGGGGCUCCCUCCCACGUCCUAGUGAUAGCACUUAGCUCCGCGCUGGUGAGAAGACUUGAAGACUAGAAGACUAGACUAGGUGCUGGACGCGGCCAUUUGCUUUGGAUCCCCUUUUCUGUAGCCUUGCCUUCUGGAUUUGGAUUUAAGUUGGAGUUGAGUUUUCAUUUGAUGCGUGCGCGGGGUGCCUUUUCUCGUUCGAGUGAUUUCUUGCUGUCUGGUUCUUGCCUUAUUCCGGAGUUCGCGCCUGCUGCUUCCCCCUCACGGGCCCCUCGCGAGCGGGGCUGAGCAAGACGUAAAUGCGCCACGCGCGUGCCGCGCCUUGGCUAGCGCUCGCUUACCACGCGCCCGCCUCGGGUGUCUCGAUGAGUUCCUCCAGAGCGUCCAACCUCACGAGCCAAUUUAGGUUCGCCCAGGCUAAGUUAAACUGCAAUGACAACUUCGCCCUAGGGCACGUGGGUCCACAAAGAUACAUAUUCAACUCGACCUAACAAGAUAAAGGAAGUAGCACAUUUACAAGAGGGGCUUCCCCCGGAUCGCCCUCAGACGCGUAGCUGGCAUCGCUGCCAGCACCGAUGGCAUCACCAUCACCUCCACCAGCGCCGCCAUCCCCGUCGUCGACCACGUCACUCGCGUCCUCCGCGACCACCACACCAUCAUCGUCGGAAGUGAAGGACUUGACCUGCGCGUCCACAUUAUCUUCCACCCAUCGCGACAGGUUGCCCCGGAUGGCCUCAGGUACGGGAGCGAUGGAGGCAUCAAAGUCAAAGUUGGGGUCGGCGUUCUGGAGGUGGCUGACGACUCGGCAGAACGCAUGUCCUAGCAGGCCACGGCUCCUCUCUUCGACAAAUUAGCGAGCCCUCUCGGAAUGGCUCUCCACGCGCGUCACCACUUCGGCAAAGAAGCGGAGGUGGCUGGCAUAGUCGUUCGCAUGGGGAUGAGGAGCAUCCUUAUCGCAGAUAUGGCGCAGGACGGUGUUGGCCCUGUUACUAAGGUCCUGGAGCAUGGAGGCAUGCACACGCUCCAACGUCCGCCGCUAAAGCACUUCUUCCUUGUUCUGCCACGCGACGGACUCGGCGUCGGUGACCCGCUGCCGGAGAGGGAGAAGCUCGGCGCGGGCGGCAGCCAGCUCAGCCUGCGCCAAGGCCAGGGCGGUCACCGUGGCCUCCUCGCGGCGCUCCACCAUGACCAACCUGAACUUGAGGGAAGCUGUCCUACCAGCGGCCCCAGCCUCCACGAGCCGCAGCUUCAGGUCAUACCUGCUCUCGAGAUCCGCACGAGCCUCGGCCAGCCGGCGAUCGACCUCCUCCUGGGCCCUGGCCUCGCGCGCACCGACAUCAUCCUCCGCCUGAGCAACCUCGCGCUCCCUCGUCUCCAGCCAUUCGAGCUCAAGGCUGCGCUCCACGGCUUCCAGCGCCAGCGCCUCCUCACGCUUUCGGAUCUCUUCCUCCUCGGCGGGCGUCCCCCUCAAUGAUGCAAGGGCAUCCCUGUGUGCCUCCACUUGCUGAUCCAAUACGGCACUCCAGGCUUGGAGCACCCACGCGCGCUUCUCCGCGGCCUCGCGAUGACGGUUAGCUUCCCGAUCCUCUUCCAGAGCUCGAGAGCAGGCCUCACGGGAGGCUGCGAGGGAAGCCUCAGCCUUCACAUUACCAAACUCGUGUUGGUGGCGCCCGAGGUUGAUGGCCACCUUCAACUUAUGCCGCUCCUCCACCAGCCGAAGACCCUCGGCCACGAGGCGCGCGUCCACAUCCACGAGCUCUUCACCAAGCCGGUUCAUCGCGCCCAUCGCCUCCUGAAAGUGCUCGUGGCGAACGACGCUCCAUUCUCGCGCCGACCCGAGCAUGCUGCUGACUUCAUCCUCCACCGCAGGGACCGCGGAUGUGGCCUGGAGAGGCUCGCCCCUCUUAGCAGUGGGCUGGGGGCUGGCAUCCACCCAUUUGUGGGACGGGCCUCGCACGGGGCCCGAACGAGUGAAGGCCCGCUGCUUGAAAAAGACCCCAGGAUCAAAACCAACUAGUUGCCUCCCACGACCAGGAGAGGAACCCUUGGCACACUUGCUGCGCUCCGAGCAAGGCCGGGAAGAAAAUACGGCAAAGGCGCGAACUCGAGACACCAUGUCGACGUGCCGGCUUCCCCGUUGACUCAACACCAUGAGUAGAGCACGGGAUUGAAGCGCUCGAUCUUGGCACGAGAAGCGAGGCGAGAGGAGGCUGCUCCUCAGGAGAUCUUGCGACCUUGUCGGAAGGAAUCCAGAGGAAAUAUCGUUAGGAAGUUGAACAACACGCGGAGAAUCACCAGGAUAAGGUACUUACUUGUCAACGGCGAUGUACUUCCUCCGCUUUAACGGCCCAAAGGUGCCGCUGCUUAGGGACCCUUUCCUCUUGCGGAGCUCUUCGAAGUCCAUGCAGAACCGACUGAAGCGCUGGACGUGGCGGCCAACACGAGGCGCAACAGGAGAAGCACUCAAAGGGGCAGUCUCAGGAGCGCCUAGCCGAGGGGAGCCAUCAUGCCCUGCCUCGUAGCGACCUGUCAAGGUCUCAGGAGCCCCGGCCUCCGGAGAUGUGGGCUGCAUCGCCUCCUCAACCACCGCCCCGGGGCAAGAGUCGUGAGUUCCUAAGGACCAUGCCUCAGGAGCCCUAGGCGGCAUUAGCAUCUCGGCACCUUCCCCAUCAGCCCUCAGCGGUGCUCUCCCCCCUGCAUCCACACUUGGGGAGAGAUCGGUGCCAGCAGCAGGAAGAGGAACCAUGACGAUGGGGUUCUCACAAGGCCCCACGAGGCCGACUAGAUGCAGCCCCCACUCAUCAAAGGCAGGCAUCUGCUCCGCGAAUGUUGCCUUGUUCAAGCAGCGGUACAGAAGGCAACUCUUCCUUGGCAUGUCAUCAAGUAGCGGGACACCUGUCGGGACCUCGAGCACCGUUCCCCGCGCCUCGAGAGUUAGCCCGGAUUCCUAAAGUCUCAUAUGGUCCUUGCUGCUGAGUAAGCCCACAUCGGUUGAGAGUGGCGCUGAAGCGGGGCGAUCCGGCGCCGGAUGAACUCCUUCACCACCAUAGGCGCAGUCACAUCAAGGUCCUUGAGCCACCUCAGCCUGAGCCAGACAGGGGCAAGGCGCGGAUCGAUAAGCCUUUGAUGGCUCCAACCAGAGCUGGGAAUGGUGGGCGCUGACGGAGAAGAGAGCAGGGGGCUGAGGACUCCGACAUCAACAAAUUCCCAGCAUGUCCAAAACCCGCUCGUGGAUGGUGGGAGCUCGAAGUCAAUCCCCGUGCCGUCUGUCGCCGCCACGGCCUGAAAGCUCAGGCAUCCUGAGCUCUAUUGGGGAUCAACCAGGUGCAGCGAAAAGAAGUGGUAAAGAAAGGCCACUGAAGGGGUAAUGCCUAUCAUGGCCUCGCAAACAAAAGUGAAGACGGCAAGAAGGGUCACUGAUUGAGGGUCAAGGUGCAGCAUAUGGAUCUGAUAAUGCGCAAGAACAACAUUGAAGAAGGAAGAGAAAGGAGGGACCAAGCCGGCCCAAAGGGCGUCGAUAAAGAAGGGGACCUUAGUGGCCGCCCGGUCAAUGCGAGCACGAGUCGCAGGCCAAGCCACCGUCUUUCCCCACUCAUUGAAGCUGGAGGCGAGCACGGGACGCACCAUGCCCAUAGCCUCAUCAUUGAGCACCAGCGAUCGGCCAACUGCGGUCUCGGCGGCCGGGGGCGCACUAGACGAAGACAGAGGCUUCUUCCCCUUAUCUUCUUGCAUCGGCGCCAUGGCGAUGGAGUGUGUGGAGCUAAGGAAUUGGAGGGGAAUGGCGCAGGCGAUGGAAAAAUAACCGUGUAGAACACGGUGGCCGUCUAGCCAGGCGGGUAUCAAGGCAGCGUGUGGAAGCGGAAGCGCCCACGUCCAAUCAACCGCCAUGUGUCGACCAAGGCCGCAUGCUAUUGGGGUCCACGACGCUCCACACUUGGCCUUUGGUUAGCCUCGAAGCCAAGCCCGAGCGCGCCUUGGGCCCGGGGGCUACUGUCGGUGUUUUGGGAACGGGGGUCCCCAGACUUGCCUGCUUGUGGCCCAUGGCGUGGCUCUGCGAGCGGGCCCAUACGGCCCAUCUUCACCAGCAAGGACUCAAGAACCUCGCGAGGGGCCAUGCCUCGCAAGGCGAGCGACACAAGACCUCCUCAGGAGCGGCCUCACCAGGCUGGCUCGCAAGGGGUGGAGAGUUCAAGGCUAAACGAACCUCGCGAGGUUCUAGUGACGUGAGACAUGACGAGCAAGGCCAGGCGGGUGCCAACACACACAGUGUCCUUGUUUCCCCUUCAGUGCUAAGGAAGCAGGCGUAGGCACGGAUUACUGAGGCGUCAAGCAAAGGUUUCCAUAUUAGUGCAACAAGACCAAGACCAGAAGGAUGGCAAGACGGAGGUCACCAUGGAGCCCAAGACAGCGUCACCACCAGAGCCUUUGGCAGGCGAAGACUACUUUUGUCAGGAUAAGCUGUACUAGCUGUCCCCUUUCAAAUUGGCCGCUCCCUUCCCGCCCAAUAUUUGGGAGGAGGACCAGGGCCUCUAUAAAUAGGACUAGCCACCGCCGUAGCUAGGGGGAGGAUCGAUCGGUCUGGCCAAGAGAGACCAGGAUAAGCACAAGUUCACCGAGCACAAGAGCACCUCUCCUCAUGAGGCUGUUCUUCCCCUUGUACUAUUCAUCCUUAACCCGAGAGGCAAUCCACCACACCACGCUGCAGUAGGUUAUUACACCACAACGGUGGCCCGAACCAAUAUAAAUGUUGUGUCCUUUGUGUUACGAGUUCGUCAACUUAGUUUACAAGAUCUUAGCUGAGUUAGGACGUGGAUCGGUAGGGGGGAGAUCUUUGCUCGCACCCCGGUGUUCGAACCUUGAGGGUUUUUCCGGAACCCAUGAACUGACACACAUCAUGGAAUAUCCUGUAGGUAUCGAUUGACAAUAUACAAAUAUAUCCAUAAGGAGUUUAUUAGUAUUCCAUAUACACAAUUAGGGCAUUUAUUGCCUCCUAAAAAUAACCAUAUGAAAUUAAUUAGUAUUUCAUAUUAACAUUGUGACAUUUUAUUGGCUCCCAAAAUUAUUUACAAACUGAAUUAAUUAGUAAUACUCCGUACCAAGAUUAUGGCAUUUAUUUGCUCCAAAAUUACAAGAGAAAUUAAUUAGUAGUAUUUCGUAACAAGAUACAUAGUGUAUACGAAAAUAUGUCAUCUUGAUAGUUUGGUAUUAGUUUAUGUAUUUGGCACAUAUGAUUUCUCAACAAGACACAGUGCGUUGCACGUACGUUCUGGCUAGUGCAUAGCUACCUGAUACUUGACUGAAUUUGUUAUUUUGAUUUUUUUAGUCAACUAUGCAGGUUUCAUUUGGGGAGGUGGCACACUUUUUUCUUGCUGGUGGGGGCGGGGGGGAGCACUUUUCAUUACUCAAGCUAUAAUAGUUUUACAAUCAUCGGUAAUCAUAAUGCUAAUCUCCUGGGAAGCGAGCAUGUUUAAGCUAAGAAAUUGUGUGCUACUGUCCGCGACCAACUGCCGCCAUUACAUGCCCAGCUUUAUUCUGCCCAUGACUAAUAAUCUUAUGGAUUUCAGUGUUGUAUUCGUUGGGCAGAUGUACUAUCUCUGCAACUUGAUGCAUAUUUGGAUCGAUCACCCGGCCCAACUUUUACAAAGGUGAUGAUCUUGGCACAGUCCGUACCAACCUGAAACAGGGCUUGAGACCAAUGCAAAGUUAGACGGAGACCUAGACUGAGGCAACCUGAAUUACUUGAAAACCACCUCUUGGAAAAUGACGAUAGUAUCUCGGAGCAAGCUUUCACUCCAUUUUCGCUCAACAGCGAUUGGACAGGGCAUUGCGGCCCAUUAUUCACAAGUAUGUACACUCAGAUCACCGGCCAAUUCUCCUUCACUGGAACUUGCCCGUGCAUUUCAACAGACGACAGUGUAUUAUUUAAAUAUCAAAAACUGGUACACAUAUGCAAUUUCAAAAAUCGAAACACAUAUAUGUAAUUUUUUGAAGGAAUAGUUACACAUGUAUAUAGUUAUGUUAUACUAGGACAAUGCCCACGUGCUGCUACCGUAGAUCUCAAAAUAUUCCUCAAGCACAUUAUAGCAAGGACUAAAGUUUCACUUCCCACAUCCCACUUAUUUAUCAACUACUGGGUAAAGUCUUAUAUAUAACUUUUGAGAAAAAAUAGUAGGGUAAACCCCUACACUAACACUUUUUUUAUUAAUAUAAGAGUGGUGUUACAAGUUGAUGUACAAUGUGAAUAUGGCUAUGUGUAUGCCUAUGCUAGAUUUACAAACAAUCUAGCUAAGUGUGCAUCCCUUUCUUCAGGCUUGGUUUUGCUUUCCUCAUGACUGUGACAAAGUGUUCCUUGAAACAGCAUUGCAAUAUUCUAUGCUCUUUGUCUUGUGGUAAAAUGUAAUGAUGUUUUUGUGCUUCUAGAUGGACCAGCAUCCAACAAUCAAGCAUGCUUUGAAUGGUUGUAUGUUUGUUCUGGUUUUUUGCUUUAUCUAGCAUUUCAUUGAUGCUAUGGUCAGUGUUCCAUUCAAUCCCAAUAGACAUCUAGAAAUUGUGGCUGAAGUCACAUGGGAAAAAUAGAUGCUUCAGGUGUUCAUUUGGCUCAUCAUCACAUAGGACACAUUUGCUUGAUUCAAUAUAGAAGUGUUUCCUCGCUAGCAAGUCUCUGGUAUUUCGCCUAUCAAGUAGAAGUAACCAGAAGAAUUUUUCGCUAAGCAUCUAGAUUUCCAAAUCCAUUGGAAUGGUUAAGGGGUGUCUGGUGGGUUUCCAAUCAAUUCUAGAUAAAUCCUUUUGGUGGAAUACCUUGUAGAUGUCCAGUAGAAUUGCCAAUUAUCUCUGCUAUUGUUGCUUGCAAUACUAAUCAUGUUCCUCAAAGAUAUGCUUUGUUGUACGGCAACAGUUGACAUGGGUAGAUGAAACAUUUCAUAUAGACCUUCCGUAGCUAUAUCAUGUGUAGCAGCAAAUGUUAUAUCCUUGUUUUUCUCAUAUGAAAAUAGUUGCGGGAAUUUAUUCUCAAGAUUACCAUCCUCCCAUUUAUCGUACCACUACUAGGGAAAAGCCUAGCAGUAGCGCGGGUUUUAGGUAUAUCAGUGGCGUGGGUGCCCGCGCUACUAAUACGGAGUUACGGCUAACAGGUAGUAGUAGCGAGGGUGCUACCCGCGCUACUACUACAUCCGCUAGUAGUAGCGUGGAUACCACCCAUGCUACUACUAACUAGUAAUAGCGUGGUUUUGGACCCUCGCUACUGCUAACUAAUUAGGAAAUGAAUAAAAAAAUUCCAGCUGUAAAAAAAUAAAUUUCAGCCAUGGCUACUGUUGCUAGGCGUCAUCGUCCUAUUCAUCCAUGGUCGAUGCUGAUCCUAUAGGGGAUGAAGUCGUCCAUGGAGAUGGUGCUUCCCCAUCCAACUUUUCUCCACACCUCUCCUUUACUGCUGCUACAAAAAAGAAACAAGGAUUAGAAGAGGAAGAGAGAGAUAGAGAGUAGUAGGUGCAGCAACUCAGCAUUGGCCGCCGGAGUUUGAGCCGAAACCCUAGAUGACGCCAUGGGUUGAGUUCAUCAGAGAACUGGCCAUCGUCAUGGGCGGCACUCUGCUGGAUCUUCCUCUCCUUCUAGCAGCGGAGGAUGAGGAAGGAGGGGCAUCAGAGGAGGAGUAGGAGGAAGGAGGGGCUACAGUGGAAGAGGAGGUCACCUGAUUUGAGGGAGAUGUCGCGGCGCGAGGCCGACAAUUGUUGUGGAGGAGGAGAAGCGCAUGUGCAGGAGCGCCAUGGAGAAAGAGAGAGGAGGAGAGGGAUGGGGGAGGAGUGAUUUGGACGAGGAGAUAGGGAUUUCAGGGCUGUUAAAUAAACCCAGUACUUAGUAGUAACGCGGGGUUUUACCCCUCGCUAGUACUAUGGCAUGUCCGGGGGAGCACGGUAGAGACCGCUUAAUAUUAGCGAGGGGUAAAAACCCGCGCUACAACUAUCAACUUAGUAGUAGCGCGGGUUUAUAACCCUCGCUACUACUAUGGCAUGUCCCAGGGGCACGGUAGAGUCCGCUUAGUAGUAGCGAGGGUUGAAAACCCACGCUAUAGUAGUAGCGAGGGGUAAAAGCCCGAGCCACGGCCGGCGGGGCCCUCGGGCCGGCACUCCAUCGAGCCACUGCAUGCCGGCGGAGGAGGGGCCGGAGGCGCCGCGGCCAUGGUGCACUCUCCCCCUCCACGCCAGCCACUACGGAUGUCGGUCCGUCGUGAUGACGCUUGUGAUGACAUUUCCAUAGCGUCGUUCGACCCACGGACCCGCCGCGACCAACGCCAGGUUCUUCGGGAGAGAGCCCAUGAAGACGCUCGAACCACCAUCGAGUCCCGGUGCGAUACGCUCCACCAGUCAGACAGGCGGGCGAGGCCCGCCAUGGACCACCCAGCACCGGGAUGCUCCGGCGGCCUACCUUACGAGGUGGGUUGCCCAGCCUUUACCCAUGGGUUGCGGCAGUUCCAGUGGCUGUCCCACCGCACGUUCAAGCCCAACGUCAGCGAGAAGUACGACGACAAGGCUCACCCGUCAGAGUUCCUCAGCAUGUGGACCAUCGCGAUGCAAGCCGCUGGAGCUCGUGACGACAAGGUGCUUGCCAAUUACUUCCCGUUGGCCCUGAAACCCAAUGUCAUGUCUUGGUUGAUGCACUUGCGGGCGGAUUCCAUUUCUUCUUGGUCAGAUAUGUGCCAAGAGUUCAUUGCUGCCUUCACUGGAGGCCACCAAGCUCAUGGCCAGGCGAGUGAUUUGCAUAUCAUUCCCCAGAAGAAAUGUGAAAACAUGUGCAAGUACGUACAAAUGUUCAACCGACUGCAAUACAACAUCCCAAAUGUUCAUCAUGUCGCUGCGAUCAGUGCAUUGCAUCAGAAUGUGCGUAACCGCAAGAUGCGUGAAGAGAUGGCAAUGAACAAGGCAAGGACAUGGCCGAACUUUACAUUCUGGCCGAUAGAUGCGCCUGGGCUGAAGAGGGAAGGAAGUACCCCGGCGAAGACGCCGGUGCGGAAACCGACUCUACCGACGAAGACGUCGCCGCCCCGACGAAGAAGGGCCGGCUUCGCAACUGGAAACGCAAGGACAAGACCGUGCUUGCCAUCGAGGGAUCCGGCGACACUAGCGCCGCCAAGAAGGCCAAGGCAGACGACCCCUGCAAGGAGAUUGCCGGGUGCGCCACUUGCCGGGCCUUGGCGGCUGCCGACAAGCGGUACUGCGAGAUCCACCGCACCAAGGGCCACGACCUCCAGAACUGCCGACAAGUUGAGCUGCUUGCUGAAAAGCAAAAAUCCGAAUAUGAGAGGCGGGACAAGGAGAAGGGUCGGGAUGGUGCCAAAGGAUCCGGCAAAAAGCAUGGCGGCCAAGGAGGUCACCGCGGCAAGGACAACCAGCAAGAGAGGCCCGCUCGGGGCCGUGACAAGAAGCAGGAAGACGAUGAUCGUGACGAGGAUGGCGAGUCCGGUGAGCAUGAGUUCCAGAAGGCUGCGAAGGCCAUGUGCGUCGAUGGUGGCGCCUCGAUGCACACUUCUCACCGCUAGCUCAAGAAGUAGGCGCGCGAGAUUACAGCAGCAGAGCCAUCGUUCGACGCUCAGAAGCCACCGAAGUGGUCCAGCACGCCCCUCAUCUUUGACGCCGAGGCCCACCCUAACCGCACAACUACGAUCGGGUGUUGCCGUUCUUGGUAUCACCAACAAUAUGCAACGUCAAGGUGAAUAAGAUGCUGGUUGACAGCGGGGCCGGCCUGAACUUGAUCUCGCCCGUCGAGAACAAAAGGCUGCAAAUUCCUUAUGGAGCCCUUGAGGAAACGGGUACGUUUCAAGGGGUCGGUCCGGGGAGAAGCCAGCCGAAGGGGAAGGUCACAUUGCUCGUGAUGUUUGGAGGUGAGUUGAACUACAAGACGGAGAUGAUCGUCUUCGAUGUGGCUGAGAUCCUCUUGCCCUACAACGAGAUCCUCGGUCGCCCAGCACUAGCCAAGUUCAUGGCAGCGUUGCACUAUGCCUACAAUAUGCAGAAGAUGCUUGGGCCGAUGACCAUCAUCACCGUCCCCUCUGACAAGAAGGAUGCGUUGAUCUGUGCUGACCAACUCUAUCGAGAAGCAGUUGUAGCAGCUGCCGCCAAGGCAAUUGCUCCUUCCGUUGAGGCCCCGGGAGGGAAGAAGAAGACCGGCAAGAUCUCUCGCACCCACUCCGGCAAGCUCACCUCUUCGGAGUGAUGUGCUACUGUCGAGGACGUGCCCGAGAGGUCUACCGGCAAGAGCAAGAAAUCCAGAUCUGCACCAGCAGAGACCAAGAGGGUGUCUGUCAAGGAGGAUGGCAUGGGAGGGGCUUUCACCAUAAGCUCCACCCUCGAUGGCAAAUAGGAAAGCGCGCUCGUCACUUUCCUGUGGGCGAAUGUCGAUGUGUUUACGUGGCAAGCAUCCGACAUCCCCGGCGUUCCCAGGGAAGUGAUUGAGCACCACCUUGCUGUCUGUCCCCAUGCGCGACCCGUCAAGAAGAAGGUCAGGAAGCAAGUUUUGGAACGACAGGAGUUCAUCACAGAGGAGAUAAGGAAAUUGGAAGCGGCAGGUUUGGUGAGUGGAGUGCUCCAUCCGACGUGGUUGGCUAAUCCGAUGGUAGUGCGCAAGGCAAAUGGGAAGUGGAGGCUGUGUAUUGAAUACACGGAUGUCAAUAAGGCUUGUCCUAAGGACCCCUUCCCGUUGCCGCACAUCGACCAGAUUGUUGACUCCACAACCAGGUGUGAUCUGUUGUCAUUCCUUGACGCCUACUCAGGCUACCACCAGAUCUUCAUGGCAAGCGAAUUUGAAGAGAAGACAACCUUUAUCACCCCAUGUGGUACGUGUUGCUUUUUACGGAUGCCUUUUGGGUUGAAGAGUGCUGGAAGCAUAUAUGGAUGACAUAGUGGUCAAAACCAAGGAUAAGGCGACCCUUGUAUAAGACCUAGGAGAGACGUUUGCCAACCUACGCAAGAUCAACCUCAAGCUGAACCCUGAGAAGUGUGUCUUUGGCGUCCCAUCAGGAAAACUUCUCGUGUUCUUUGUGUCGCAGCGUGGGAUCGAGGCAAACCCAAACAAGAUCAAGGCUACUGAGCUGAUUGAGGCACCCAAGCGGAUCAAAGAUGUGCACCAGCUCACUGGCUGCAUUGCCGCCAUGAGCAGGUUCAUCUCUAAGUCCGGUGAACGUGCCCUUCCCUUUUUCAAAAUCUUGAAGAAGGCAGGCCCAAUGCAGUGGACCCUAGAGGCCGAGGUGGCGUUGCAGGAUCUGAAGAAAUACCUGUCCUCUACGCCAAUACUGGUUGCGCCUAAACCACAAGAGUCAUUGCUGCUUUAUUUGGCAGCAACGAAUCAAGUGGUUAGCGCCACACUAGUGGCGCAGAGGGAGGUCGAAGAAGAGGCCGAUGCAAUGGGAGGACCGGUGCAUGGCAAGUCAGAGAUUCCCCCGGCAGGGCCUGGUGCUGGCAAGGCAAGGCCCCAGACAGAGUUCGACGCCAUCAGGGCAGGGCCCGCAUAGCCAAGUGAUGUGGUGCAGAAGAAGAAGAUGAUGAGACACCGGGUUUACCUUGUCAGCUCCCUCUUGCAUGGAGCCAGGUCAAGGUACUCCGGUGUGCAGAAAUUGCUCUUCGGCCUCCUUAUGGCCUCGAGAAAGCUGCGUCAUUACUUCCAAGCUCACGAGAUUGCUUUCGUCACCCGCCUCCCGUUGCAACGGAUACUGCACAACCCAGAUGCAACCGGAAGGAUUCUGGAGUGGGCCCUGGAGUUGUCAAUCUUUCGUUUGAAGUUUGAAAGUACUUCGUCAAUCCAGAGCAAGGUCUUGGCGGAGUUCAUUGCAGAAUAGACCUCAACACCUGACGAGGAAAUCCAGGAGACCGCUCUCCCCGGUAAGGAAGCAAGUCGCGAAUGGAUCAUGUACUUUGAUGGGGCUUUCUCCUUGCAAGGCGCCGGUGCCGGCAUGCUGCUUGUCGCACCCAUCGGAGAGCACCUCAAGUAUGUGAUCCAGAUGCACUUUCUGAUGGAGAUGUCCACAAACAACACUGCUAAGUACAAGGGGCUGCUCGCCGGACUCAGGAUCGCGGCAGACCUCGGGGUGAAGAAGCUCAUUGUCAGGGGUAACACGCAACUUUUCAUCAGAAAGGUCAACAAAGAUUACCAGAGUCCUUUGAUGGAGGCCUACGUAUAUGAGGUGAGGAAGCUAGAGGAGCGCUUCGACAGUAUUCAAGCAGAGCAUGUUCCCCGGGCGAAGAACGACAUCGCGGACUACCUGUCAAAGCACGCUGCAUUCACGCUACCUAUGGAACUAGGUACCUUUUUGCUUCGGUUAACUCAACCAUCCGUCGAACCAUCAACGGAGCAGAACAAGCUUAGGAAAUCGGGCCCCGGCAAGUACUUUCCCGCCGAGCCCCAGGGUCGUCGGCAAGGGUGUGGUCGUGGAUUCCGAGCCUGCCAAGGGGCACCUGGCUCCGGUAGGGCGCCAAGCCCUGGCCGUAGAGACGGCUGCCCCGGUGGUGGAAGAGAUGCCUUUGGUCCUUGCCGUUGAGGCCCAGGCUCCGGCAUGGGCACAGCAUACCGUCUGUUUCGUCCAGACAUGGGAACUUCCUGAGGAGCAGAAAUAAGCGGAAAAAGUAGCCCAUCGGUCUGCCUUGUACCAGUUCGUCGAUGACGUCCUGUACAGAAAAAGACCGAACGGUGUGAAAUUGAAGUGCAUUCCCGGGAGGAAGGACUAGAGCUGUUGGCAGAGAUACAUGGAGGCAUAUGUGGCUCCCACAUACGGUCGAGGGACCUUGCCGGCAAGGCAUUCCAGCAAGGCUUCUUCUGGCCCACCGCCCUCUAGGAUGCGACGGCACUAGUAACCAAGUGUGAAGCGUGUCAGUUCCAUUCAAAGAAGCUUCAUCAACUAGCUCAAGCCCUUCAAACAAUUCCUCCCACCUGGCCAUUUUCGGUCUGGGGGAUCGACAUACUGGGCCCCUUCACCCGUGUUGUCGGGGGCUUUGAAUACUUGUACAUUGCAAUCGACAAGUUCACAAAGUGGCCAGAGGUGGAAGCAGUGAGGAAGGUGACAGCACAGUCAGCCGUCAAGUUCUUCAAGGGACUAGUCUGCCAUUUUGGUGUGCCAAACAGAGUCAUCACCAACAACGGCACGCGGUUCACAAGCCACACCUUCAUGCAGUACAUCCGAGACCUCAGCAGCAAGGUCCAUUUUGCUUCUAUGGCACACCCACGGAGCAACGGCCAAGCGGAGAGGGCAAAUGGUGAAGUAAUGCACACAAGCAAAAGGCGCUAGAUUGAUGAGUUGUCGGCGGUUCUUUGGUCGAUCAGAACGACGCCAAAUCGAGCCACCGGCCAAACACCCUUUGCCCUGGUAUACGGGGCAGAAGCAGUUCUCCCCAUGGAACUCAUAUACGGGUCACCUCGAGUGCUCGCUUAUGACGAGCUUGAGAAAGUGCGAUUGCGGCAAGAUGACGCAAUGCUCCUUGAGAAAGAUCGUCUUUGGGUGGCUGUGAGAGCAGCACGCUACCAGCAAGCCUUGCGCCACUACCAUAGCCGCAAGGUUCAUGCCCGAAGAUUUGAGGAAGGCAACAUUGUUCUUCGGCGCAUUCAGUCGGCCAAGAAUUCCAACAAGUUGACGCCAAAGUGGGAAGGCCCUUAUCGGGUAAUACGAGUCACCAGGAUUGGCGCAGUCCGCCUGGAGACCGAAGAUGUUGUCCCAGUAAGCAAUUCCUGGAACAUCGAGCAUCUUCGCAAGUUUUACCCAUAAGGCGCGGUUGUCGGGCCUCUCGGAGAACCACCUUUUGUACGAGGCUUGCCGGCAAGGCACGUAACCCUCUGUACAAAGCCAGGCGCAGAUCCUAAGCAUAAAUAAACGAAGCGCUGGUGCCCUAAGUUAUAGCAUGCAUGCUAGGUCAAGUCUCUCCCUCGGUUAGGGUUGAUAGUGGUUAGCAUCGAGUGUGCGUCCUUCUGUUCCCUUUGGUUCGCAGGGCACGCAGACACUUCUAUUGAGACGCUCGGGAAAAAGACAACGGACCAUCACUCCGGCCCCGGCAAGCGAAGACUGCCGGGGGCUGAAGAUACAAGGAUCCAACCACGGCGAGCCAAGGUUGUCGGGGCUGUGGAUCCAGAUAAGUCUUUCAUCCCCAUGUUCUGCAUUUCCAUAUAGAACUCGGACAUGUGAAACCUCGUUUAUGUUCUUAAAACCACCGUGCUCCCCUUUCUUAUACCCAAGGGCUACCUCCUGGGUCAGAAUUUGGUAGUACUCGCGGUGGCGAGGAGAUGAACGAGGGGCCUAACUCUACUUCGCCCCUGCCUCCGCCAAGAGCGCAAGAAUGGUCGACCGAAGUGGGCAGAUGGCAAGUCAUGUUGCCGGGCGACAAUGUUUAUCUUAAAAAUAACAAGGAUUCAUCCUUGGCACGGGCCUCGCUCACGCACAAAGAACCCGGCAAGAACUCUUUUUCAUUAAAAACAUCCCAUACAGGUAUAGUUCAUACGGAAUUAAAAACAUGGGCAAAGGGGAUUACAAGUCUUAAAAUUAACAAGUGCCGCAGGCUUACAAACUAAAAAAAGAUAAGAUGCCCAUGAUCCCUUUCUUGUCCCUCUCCUCAGAAGGUGGAGUAAGAGGGCAGGAGGGCGAAAAGAGCGCAUGGGCGAGGUGCGAGGAGCAAAAGGCACCAAGAGAAUGUCCCGGUGCCGGGAGGGGAGCUGGAAGGUGAGGCAGUGGGCCGGCAAUACGCGACGAAGGUGCCGGUGCUCGCGUACUCUGAUUUGACGGCCGCCACCUGCAUUUUUCGCCUUCUCCGACCCUCCUACGCCAGCCACCCAACGAGACGAUGGGGAGCGCUCUGAUGGAGAGCUUGGCGAGGAUGUCCCUCGACAGGGCGCGUGGCCGAGGGAACGGAGGCGCGGUUAGUCGGAGUCAGCAUCCUGCCGCUCGACUCCCUCGUCGUCACUAUCGUUGUCCUCCUGGUCACUCCCACUUGAGGAGGAAUCUUCAUCGUCGGAGGCUGCCCUCUGUUAACUUGAAGUAGAGGACAAGCCCCGCCGUCAAGCUGUGGUUGCAUGUGAACGUCUUUCGUCCACGGCGGAGGUACAUGACGUGAGAAGUAGGGAAGUCAACGUCGACCCGCGUGCCGCCAUUCCCACAACCCUUCAUGUGCAACCAGAGGGUCUGGGGUGGAUCGAGCUCCAUCGCCCGAGCAAAUGCAGUAUGGAGACGGAGGCGGCGACACGGUGGCCGGCGCAGCCUGAUGAAGAACUCGCGGGGCUGGUCCCCGACGUGGUGCUCCGUCAAGGGAGGCAUCGCUGGCGGAGGCGAGGCCGAUGCGCCGCCCCGUCCUCCUCUCCCCCGAGCGCCACGAUGACCUCGGGCUCGUCCCCUCCCCCUACCCCUCGUGGCCGGUUCCGCCAGCACGAGCCCUUGGGGAGGAGGAACGCGCUGACGAGCAGCAACCCUCGCCGCCACCGCCGAAGGCCAGCGCUUCCUCUCGCCAUGGCGGAUAGAAGAAAGAAGCGGAGUUGGAAGGAGACGGAUGAUGGGAGAAUGUGGAAUGCCGCCCCCUCCCCUCCUUAUAAAGGGGCGGAGUCGGGGCUCGGUCGCCCCACUCGACCAAUCCGGUCAUCGGGCGCACAGGGAAUCAGGACCGGCCUGCUGGCCCAAUCAGCGACUGCCCGGUUUCCCGCUUCCUCCUCCUGCCACCUGCAUGAAGGACACAUGGCGAGCAAGCAGCAUUAAAGGGACAGGCGAAGCAGCCGCUCCCCACCCCGUGAUCUUGGGGCACGGGCGCCUUGAAGACCAUGACCUGAGUCCACCCAAGUAAAUGGGUCGUGCCUCUGCGCCUCCCUCCUUUUACGGGGAAGGCGCAGGCCGCCUCUUUACCACGAUGUGAUGCAUGCAUGCGGAAACCGCCCCAUGCAUGACCCCCACGUCGCGCACGACCCUCCAUGUCGCAUGUUCAACAUGGGUCAUGGGGAAGCGCAGCGGACGAGAAAUUACUAUGGUGAAAUCCGCCCCACCUGCCCGCGCACCGUUCUAGGCCUAGCCCAACAACGUGUCGCACUUAUGUAUGGCCCAGGCCCGGGGGCUCCUGUCGGUGUACAAAAGUAGGGGCUCUCCUUUUGACCCCUUUACUUGUGCCCGGGCAGUCAGAGCCACGCGCCGUGGCCAAACUUAGCAGGGCAGAGGAGGGAAGCCGGAGAGAAGUCGAAGCAUGAGGAAACCAAGGCAACGCCAAGACCAGAAGCGCAGGAGGGCGAGAGGGCGAGGUGGACUCCCUCGGCAAGGUCCUUGCCGAGGCGGCCCCCCGAGCCCCGGCAAGAGCCUUGCUGAGGCAACUUGCCCGAUGCCAGCGGAGUGAGCCACGCUUAAGCCCACCGGCUCCAACCUAACCAACUGUGUUGGAACUGGCUCGGGAGGCGCCUCUGUGGUGGCAUGCAAAUCUUCGUCAACUCAUAAACAUCUGAGUUCACAUGAGGACCAGAAGACGGCGACCCUCGGCAGGAUCCUAGCCGAGGAAAUCCAGAAGACCCCCGGCAAGACCCUUGUCGGGGAUGGCAGCAAUGCCACGGCAAGACCCUUGCGGGGCCCCCCGGCAAGACCCUUGCCGAGGUCGUAAGCAGGGCCACUGCUAGGCCCAUGCCAACCAAGACUCCGCCACCAGCCAAGACUCCGACGCCGUUCGCAUGCAGCUGCCAGCACAACCAACUGGGCAGGCACCUGCGUGGCAACAUGCAGCUGCCAGGCCAAAUCAGCAAGCACCUAUGUGGCGUCAUGCAGAUCUUCAUGAAGGCCCUACCACCCCACCACCUCAGCUGCCUGCCUACCUACAUGGCGCCGCAUGCAUCGCUAGCAUGGGCGCGUGUCGAGGCGAAACAAAGCGGCGACCGAUGGGACGUGCCUCGUUCCCAUCCCGAUAAAGCUAAUGGACACCUACGUAGCACAUUUAAUGCGCUUUGUCCCGUAAUGCCAUGCGAUAAGCUCGCGCACUGUAGGCCUUUCCACCUCCCGUGUGCCACUGUGGCAGCCCCUUUUUCUAUAAAAGGAGGCCCGAGACGACCAUGAUGGGGAUUCGGCUUUUUGGAACAGCGUAGCCACCGUAGCUUGUUCAGAAAGCUCAAGAACACUCAAUCCAUCCACCAAAGCAGUACUAGGGUUUUACGCAUCCUUGCGGCCCGAACCUGGGAAAAUGACCCGUGUGUUAGCUUCUAAACCUGCUCUUCUCACGACCUCGCGCCCGCCGACCGUAGAAGGGAUCCCAGUGAUCCCAUAGGUGUCGUUCUCACCGACAGUAUGUCAUUUUGGAGCUAAGUAAGCUUAUUAUGUCAUUUUGGAUGAAAAUAAGCUAAGUAUAUGAUAUGUAUGAGAUUAUGGAGGUUAUAAUGCAAUUCUUAACCUAAGUAAGCUUAUUAUUCCAUUUUUGACAUAAGUAAGCUAAGUAUUGGUCAUUAUUGAGCUAACCUAGGUAACUAAGCAUAUUAGAGCUAACUUAGCAUAUUUGAGCUAACUUAGAGCUAACUUAGGUCAAUUUGGAGCCAACUUAGGUAAAAUGUGUCAUUUUGGAGCUAACUUAGGUCAUUUUGGAGGAAACGAAGCUAAGUAUAUGUCAUUUUAGAGCUAACUUAAGUAAAAUGGACCAUUUUCAGCUCAGUAAUCUUAUUAUGUCAUUUUGGAGGAAAAUAAGCUAAGUAUAUGAUAUUUAUGAGGUUACAAAGGUUAUUAUGCCAUUUUUUUACCUAAGUAAGCUAAUUUUGCCAUUUUUACAUAAGUAAGCUAAGUAUAUGUCAUUAUUGAGAUAACCUAGGUAACUAAGCAUAUUAGAGCUAACUUAGCAUAUUAGAGCUAACUUAUGUCAUUAUGGUAAGCAUAUCGGAGGUAAUAAAGCUAAGUAUAUGUCAUUAUUGGAGGAAAAUUUGCCACAAAGACGAUUUCACUUUCAGAGCUGAAGAUCAGACCUCUAGGGUUCCCCGAAAGUUGGAUGGUGAGCCUUUGAAAUUGUGUGGAUAUGGAACGUAUGUCGAUGGAGAAUUUUCCAUGCCAAUGACCACUUCGUCGGUUCACCCUCGUCUACGUCAUCUAUCACCAGUGGUGUAGCUUUCUCUUCCUUCAGACCUAACUUGCCCAUCGCCUCCUCCAGUCAUGCCCUCACCGCACGUGGCAAGAGAGCGCCUUCCUUCCCUUUGACAUCGCCAAAUGGAUCCAUCCCGACACCACCCCCGUAUGCGCCCCACCGAUCAAGAUCAAUCAUGCGUCCCCUCGAAACUAUAAUCGCCUAACAUGAGGCUCCUAUUUUUUGGGGCAGUAGACCAAUGGCUGCGAUCACAGUGGUGCUCCCGUCAACCAGAGUUCGACUCCUAUGUGGAGCGAAUAUAUCUGGGGUUCUCACUAAGGAGGGGUCGAUAAGGCACCUAUCCCGUUUGAAUGUGUAGAGAAAAUGAUUCCCCACGAUAGCCUACGUAGACGUUGCUUGAGGAUGAGGAUGAGGAUUAUACGUGUAAUUCUCUCCAACGUUUUAUGGUACACAAUAUUCAUCUAAGAAGCCUACAUGCCACCAACAGUCACGCCUAUAACUCCACUGACACCGAUGACUCCAUGAAGGGGACCUUCAAGGAGAAGAACCUCGCAGGUGUGUCGGUGCGGUGGGCGGGAGGAGCGGGCUACGGAACAAUGCAGUGUAUGGGGGAUAGCGAUAGGUUACCAAAGAAAGAUAUAAUUUGUUCGUCUAGAUGAAAACAGUUUUAAAGAGAAAAGCUUAGACAUUAGUAAAUAGAAAACUAAUAUAAGUACAAGGGAUAGCAUACAUCCGAGGACAGAUGAAAAGGUUCAUCAAAAGUUAUCACAAAAUUCUAAACAUUUAUCAAUCCAUCGAUAAGUAGACCAUUUAGGACGGCGACCACUCCUCGGAUCCGUAAGUAAGGAAUAAAAGUAGAUGAAGGAAACCUUAACUUUUUUAGAUAUUUUUAGACCAUACGUAUUUUUUGGGCAAAACUUUUUUUGAUAGUAAAUAUUUGGUUAAUAAGUGGAGGCGUUCGGCAUAGUUUAUAAUAGCUCAACUAGCCUAGCACUAAAAUCCAUUUUGCAACGGCUAAUCAUUUUUUUGCGAGAAAACUUUCGAUCUAUUCCUCCAUUCUUUUGACGUAAGAUGUAUUAGCCUAGCACAAGAAAGAAAGAGAUACACGCAAUCAAGAAAGAUACUUUCCUUCCUUUCCUACAAGGAGAGUGUCACGCCCAAUAUGUGACUCUAUCCUAAAGGAACUCGAAGGUCCCACCAAGGAUAGCACCGCAUCUUGACACGCUUUUGAAAGGUGGAUAUCAUUACAUCAUACCAUUACAUAAUAGUUGGGGAUACAUACAAGACAUACAAAUGCCAUAAUAAUACAUCAACAUCAUACAUGCGAACAACAUCCGACUACAGAUGUAGCACAAACAAAAGCUCAAACGACAUCCACCCUGCUAGCCCAGGCUGCCGACCAGGAACCUAACCCAAGAUCGAUGAAGAAGAAGAACUCGAAAACAAGUAAACAUUGCUCUCACGUCAUGAUCAUCACAUUACAUGUACCUGCAACUGUUGUUGUAGUAAACUGUGAGCCACGAGGACUCAACAAUCCCAUUACCAUGGGUAUCAAGACUAGCAAAGCUUAAUGGGUAGGAAAAGAAUAAGUGGUGAGGUUGCAGCAGGGACUAAGCAAUGUAUGGUGGCUAACUCACGAGUACAAGAGGAAGAUGAGAAUCUACGCAAACGGUCGCAAACUAGUAAUGAUGAAGAAGUGAUCCUGAACUACUUACGUUCAAACAUAACCCAACCAUGUUCUCCUCUCGAACUUCCCCGAAAAGAGAUAGUCACGGUUAAGCACUUGGUUGGUGUAUUUUGAAUGAGUUUACUUCAAGUCCUCUACAACCGGAUAUUAACAAAUUCCCAUCGGCCACAUAACUGCGGGCAUGGCUCUCGAAAGUUUAAACCCUGCAGGGGUGUCCCAACUUAGCCCAUGACAAGCUCACGAUCUGCGGAGACAAUCCUCCAUCGCGGGACCCUCCGAUUAGACUCGGAAUCCCGGUGCACAAUACAUUUUGACAAUAGUAAAACUAAUCCAGCAAAACCUCCCAGCGUUCCGACACCCUAAUUGUAACCGCACGUAUCUCGUCUGAGGCCACGACCGGAUAAGCGAAGCGUACAUGAUCCAAAUACCCCAAGUUGCCUAGGGGUGGUCCCGCACGGUACUCUAGUUUGGGACCAACAUGGCCCCCCUACUAUGUAGAAAGAAUCCGCGGGUUCAUGACGCCCUAUGCCAAUUAAUUAUUUAGUUCAAGUAUUAUUAUGGCAAAUGUUAAAACCAAUGUUGAGCCUUGCUGGAAGAGUUUUAUUCAAAGCGAACUGUCAAGAGGGGCCCAUAAACCCUCACCAUGUUAGGGACAAAAAAUCAAGGAACAUAACACCAGUAUGACAGAAACUAGGGUGGCAAGAGUGGAACAAAACACGAGGCAUAAGGCCGAGCCUUCCACCCUUUACCAAGUAUAUGUGUGCAUUAGUUAAAAUAAGAGAUAUUAUGAUAUCCCAAAAUAUCCAUGCCCUAGCAUGGAACAACCUGCACCUGCAACUAGCAAGGCUAUAAGAGCGGCUGAGCAAAGUGGUAACAUAGCCAAACAACGGUUUGCUACGAAGGGUGAAAAGGUUAGAGGCUAAUCAUGGCAAUUUGGGAGGCUUGAUAAACAAGUGGUACGUAGCGCGACACAUCGAUAUCAUCGAAAUAACUAGCAUAGCAAAGAUAGUAGUGAGAUCCAAGGUGACGGUCAUCUUGCCUGAAAUCCCGCUAGGAAGAAGAACGAGUCCAUGAAGAAGACGAUCCCACGUAGUCGAACGAAUCAUCACAAUCGCAACGAAACAGGAACUAUCGAGAAGGAGCACAACUGGAAAGAAGCAAGCAACAUGGUAAACACACAACACAUAAACAUGACAUGAUUCUCAACCAAGUAUGAUCCAUGGCAAGGCUAUAUGAUGCUACUCAUGGCAAGAGAUGAUGCAUACAAGAACAAGACAUCAAAGCAAGUUUAAAUGAGGCCGAAAACAACAUAUAACAAUUCUGGUAAGUCCUCAUAUGUAAAUUUCGAAAUUGGUACUGAUCUGAACAAAACUUUAUGUUAAAGUUGUUAAACAUCAAGUUAAAGUGCACCAAGAUGAUCUACACGGUUUUCUAGUCAAGUUACAUAUAAAGUUCGUUUAAUUCGGAGCUACGGCCUAGAAGAUAUGAGCAAAACAAGUUAAACAUGGCACUGAUUGCCAAAUGCAAGCAAAACAACAUCAUAAACACUCCAAAAUAAGGAUUCAACAAGGCAACAUGAAACUACAUGUACAACUAAGCAAGUUUCAUAUAGAGCAUGCUCAAAACGGAGCCACGGUUCAACACAUACACCCAAUUCACGUUUCAAACACAAUCUGCCGAAAAGAGCAACUAAGCACUUUGCAAUCAAGGAAACAACAAGCUAGAGGAAACAUAUGGACGCAAACUUGAUAUGCACUCAAAGUACAGAUUGCAUGCUCCAAAUUACACUAAGUUUCAAGUUCAUAGGCAUCAGGAUUAAUCCAAGAUGAUCAAUGCGAAAAGCAACUUGAUAACACAGAUUAUGACUUAGUGAAAAAUAAAUCAUAUGCUUGAGGAGAAAUAACAUGUUGACAUGUUGGAGGCAUGAAACAAUGAUGCUAUAGUGCAAGAACAUAACAAGCAAAAGCAUGGCAUUCUAGUACAAGUUGAACAUGGCAAAACAUGAUUACUAAGCAUCUCCAUAAGAGCCCUAGAUCAAUGGCAAUCAACAAGACAAGAUGCAACAGGACAUAAGAUGAUUCUCAGACUAGAGGAAAUCUGGGAAUGCAAAAAAAAUACAUUAUGAUGCUGACUUCGGAGGCACAUAACAGCAAGCAUAGAAAAUUAAGUAAUCAUGCAAAAUACAUGGGCAUAUAGUAGACAUUAUAUACUUUAACUUAGUCCGUGGGCACAAUUUCAUAUGAGGAAUGGAGUAAUUACUAUGAUUCAUGCAAAAAGGAACAUGUUGUUAAUAGGAUAACAUAUUUAGCAUGAUGGCAACUUGAGAGCAAGAAAGAGACAAGCUACAGCAAGUUAUAUGGAAACCAAUGGCAUGGCAUAAAAUUACACAUAACAAAGAGCAAAAACAUCAAGGCGUCAUAACCAUAUGACUCAUGGACUAGUGGGAACCAUCAAGACAAGUUUGAAUUUUAUAACAGUUUCAACAAGUGUAAAACAACAACUUUAGCAUAGCAUAUUAGCAAGCUUGGAACAGAGGUCAUAUGAAGUCUAAAAUUAUCAAACUUGGCAUGUGGACAAAAUACGCAUAGCAUACUUCAUAUCAUGUAAUCGGAGCACCUCUAAAAGAGAUAUAGUUUAAUUAAUAACAAGCUCAAAACACGGCAUCAUGAAGUUAACAGAAAACUCGAACAUCAUUUAGGCAUGUUCAUGGCAAUGAAAACAUAUGCUACAGGACAUAUAUGAGGCAUCAAAUGGCAUGGCAUGAUAGAGCAUAACAUGAACAUCAAAACAUGUCAACAGGUGGUGCGCGCGACGAGUUGUGGGGCGGAGGCGGCGCGAGCUGGCGGCAACGCAGCGGCGGCACAAGGCGACGAUGUGGGCGGCUCAGGCGCCGGCAUGAGGCGCGGCCGGGUUCUGCCCGGUGGCAGGCCGGCAAUGGGCCCUGCAGGCCUGCGUGGAGGAGACGGCAGCGGGUGACAUGGCGCCUUCCGAUUCGUCGAGGGCAGCGGCGUUGGAUCCGUCCGGCGCAGACGGACGUAUCAGGCGGCGUGGAGGGAAGAUGGCAGCUAGGGUUUGGACUGCGAAUUCGUACGACCUAUAUAUAGGUAUAGGGAGCUAGGAGAGGGAAAAUGAGGUGCGAUUUUCUCCCACACGAUCGUGAUCCAACGACGGAGAGGAUGGAGGGGGUUUAGAUGGGCUAUUGGUCUAUUAUGAAGGGGUGCUGGGCUGCAAAGAGAAGGAGGGGUUUCGGUUAACGCGGUUAACCGUUGGGGCAUCAAACAACCUCCAAAUGGAACGAAAUUUUACAGGCGGUCUACCGGUGAUAUACCAAGGCCACUCAACAAAUCUCGGCCCUUGAUGAGAACAUUUUUGUCCCGCUCAUGAAACGAGAACUGGAAGGUGCAACGGGUGCAUGUGAGAGUGUCGGAUGUCGAAACGGACAAUGGAGAAAGUGACCGGAUGCAAGUUUUGAAAAAUAUGAUGAUCUAAUGCACAUGAUGACAUGGCAAAAAUGUAGAACACAAGAAAAUGUAAUGGCAACAACAACGAAUAACUGGAAGACACCUGGCACAUCGGACUUGGGGAGUUAAAGAGAGAUACAUAAAAUCAUGAGAGAGAUACUUUUCGUUUCUCUAUAGGAAUAAAAAUGAAAUUCCGAGGAAUUAUAAGAAAUGCAACUGAGGCAGUAUUCACCAACUGUCAGGUAGUUCAAAGAACACUAGAAGUAAAAUUUACAUCCAGGUCCAUAGACCACUUAGCGACGACUACAAGCACUGGAGCAAGCCAAAAGGCGCACCUUCGUCAUCACCCAUCCUUUGUCGGAGAAGGGCAAACAUUGUUGUGGUAGAUAGCCAGGAACAAAAAUAUGUUGCAGCUCGUGAGUUCCAGCUGAAUAUGUUUGAUGGACCAUUGAUAUGCGCUUAUUUUGUGUGCAAUAACAAUGAAUCUAAUUGGUCCCAAUAGCCACUAAGCCAUAAUAUGUUUUCCAGCUGUCCUAGCUCUUGGUAUCAAAGAUGAUUGUUUGCUACAGAAUUAUUUAAGUCGAUACAUCAAGGUCUGCACAAAGGUAUGGAUAAGUUUAAAAGAUUUGACACUAUCUAGUGUAUAGUUCCAGAUUCAGAUGAAAAAACAUUCUGAUUGAAAUCAUAGUAUUAAUUAUACUUUGGUGGUAGAUUUAAUUUUAAUUUUUCCCAAAAAUUGUCCCAAUACCGUGAGUGUAAUGCAUGUGUAUGUGAGCAUCUAUGUUAAAAAAGGCCAUGAUACGGGUUCAAAUACAAAGAGUAGGAAAAUAAAAAUGUUCAAUUAAAUUAUUCCAGCUAGAAAAACAAUUCAUAAUGCUCCCAAGUGAAUCUUUAUUUACAAACAUUAUUCUUGGUCAUUUUCUUGCUACAAUUAUCUGAUGCAUUCGCAGUGACCAUCACGGUAGGUCCCACCUCCGUAAGCAUCUCUGUUGCAGAUAUCAUUACAAAAUGAAGGAUCCGUACAUGGAGUGUAGGGUUCACGGUGCCCCUCGACGCCAAUGUUAGCUUCCUUGCCUACAACAAUAAAAAAUAAAAGGUGCCAUCAGAACCUCUUGUUGUUCGUAUUUAAACUAGGAUUCUGUGAAAUCAAUGUACUAUGCAAAUAGUAGGACAACAGUGGAGUGCUAAUACAAACAUAGGAAGAACAUCUACUGGCUGGUAUAUAAUUAUUAUGUACUAUGGAAACCAUAUGUACCACGACAGAAUUGUAAUGGUGAUCAUAAAAUCACAAGGAAAACACCUCUUUCUUUCCAUGCCAUUGUUAAAUAACACUAGGUUUAAAGUACUAUGAGGCAUGAUAACUUUUAAAUAAGGGGACGAACGCGACGCACAAGUUUGCACUACAAGGAAAUAUAGUUUUAUAUCUAUUUUUUGCGAGUAUGAGGAAAAAGAUACUUGCCUAUCUUAACUAAACACCUCACUCUAUUAGGCACGGUUGAAACACUUUUCUGUUGCAAAAAUACUUGCAUAUAUUAACUUGAACGAUCAAACUUCAUAAGAAACAUUCAUACUAUUGGCAACAGAGAAUGAUGCAAUAGGAUCAAUUUUUUAUCUAGCUCUAGGAAACCACAAAUUCAUAUAUACUACAGUUGAUAAGCUCUGGUAAAUAGAAAUGUACCUAUCUUCCUCCCUGAUGCUUCACUCGACAAUAAAGUGGUUGAAACCAUCAAAAGUGCCAUCAAGCACAGAACACCAGUGUUGAUCCGGAUUAGAGCCAUAAUGAAAUUGUUUAGUGUUCUCUUCUCCUAUGUCCGUUUGGUUUAGACUUGUACUACUUUGCUGGUUCCUUCUGCUGUUUAUAUAGAGGCAUGGCCGAUUCUUG
rnacentral:lncRNA from 1 species